rnacentral:lncRNA from 1 species
GAAAACAUAUAAUUGAAGCAUGUUUGCCCUUUGCCCAAUCAAAGACAUCCAAUCUUUUCUUUUUAUUAGAAAAUAAACCCCUUACAUUCAUAGAUAGUAUAGUAAUAUUAUUAUCUAUUCCCAUAGGUUAUGUAUAUAUAACAGAUAGAACAUAAACCGGAGAGCAAAUAAGUUAAUUGUAAAACAGUAAUAAAGUACAUAUUGUAAUCACAUACACACAACACACAUACAAUAAAAUGACACUGGUGAUAAUGUACAAAACACAUCAGAUUGGUUUCACAGUAUUGGCGUAAAUUAUGAACGGUAUAAUAUUUAAAAAUUAAUAAAAAAAAAAAACACAACAGAAAAAAAAUGUAUCAACAUAGACUUGAAGAUUAUCUUACUCAAAGUUAAAAAAAAAUAAUUUUGUAGUCUAAUAGUGAUUUAAAGCAAAGAAUGAAUUGAUUGCUUCUUUAUUUCUUUAUUUAUUUAUUGAAGUCACAGAGGUGUAGCCUGGUAAAAGUAACUUGAAUUGAAGGGGGAAACACCUGUUUGUUAUCUUGAAAAAUAUAUUGAAUUAUCUCCCUUAUCAUCAAAACUUUCAACUAUGCUCAUAUACAAUGGAAUGGAAAUGUAACAUAAACAGAUGAGACCAACAUUUUUACAAUUUAAAAAAGAGUUAGAGUUAUCUCCCUUCUUAAGAUCAGUAUUUCAAAACAACUCAUGAAGCUGUUUUCUUUCUAAUUUUCUCUUCUAUAUUGUCAAACAAGUCAAACUUUAUUCUUUGGUUACCAC